GCAAGUCGAACGGCAGCACGGGAGCAAUCCUGGUGGCGAGUGGCGAACGGGUGAGUAAUAUAUCGGAACGUGCCCAGUCGUGGGGGAUAACGCAGCGAAAGCUGUGCUAAUACCGCAUACGAUCUAUGGAUGAAAGCGGGGGGCCGUAAGGCCUCGCGCGAUUGGAGCGGCCGAUAUCAGAUUAGCUUGUUGGUGGGGUAAAAGCCCACCAAGGCGACGAUCUGUAGCUGGUCUGAGAGGACGACCAGCCACACUGGAACUGAGACACGGUCCAGACUCCUACGGGAGGCAGCAGUGGGGAAUUUUGGACAAUGGGCGCAAGCCUGAUCCAGCAAUGCCGCGUGCAGGAAGAAGGCCUUCGGGUUGUAAACUGCUUUUGUACGGAACGAAACGGCUCUUUCUAAUAAAGAGGGCUAAUGACGGUACCGUAAGAAUAAGCACCGGCUAACUACGUGCCAGCAGCCGCGGUAAUACGUAGGGUGCGAGCGUUAAUCGGAAUUACUGGGCGUAAAGCGUGCGCAGGCGGUUAUAUAAGACAGAUGUGAAAUCCCCGGGCUCAACCUGGGACCUGCAUUUGUGACUGUAUAGCUAGAGUACGGUAGAGGGGGAUGGAAUUCCGCGUGUAGCAGUGAAAUGCGUAGAUAUGCGGAGGAACACCGAUGGCGAAGGCAAUCCCCUGGACCUGUACUGACGCUCAUGCACGAAAGCGUGGGGAGCAAACAGGAUUAGAUACCCUGGUAGUCCACGCCCUAAACGAUGUCAACUGGUUGUUGGGUCUUCACUGACUCAGUAACGAAGCUAACGCGUGAAGUUGACCGCCUGGGGAGUACGGCCGCAAGGUUGAAAC
rnacentral:rRNA from 1 species